rnacentral:rRNA from 1 species
GGGGGAUAACAGCCGGAAACGGCUGCUAAUACCGCAUGAGCGCACAGUGCCGCAUGGCACGGUGUGAAAAACCACGGUGGUACGGGAUGGGCCCGCGUCUGAUCAGCCAGUUGGCGGGGUAACGGCCCACCAAAGCCGCGAUCAGUAGCCGGCCUGAGAGGGCGGACGGCCACAUUGGGACUGAGACACGGCCCAGACUCCUGCGGGAGGCAGCAGUGGGGAAUAUUGCACAAUGGGGGGAACCCUGAUGCAGCGACGCCGCGUGAGCGAGGAAGUAUUUCGGUAUGUAAAGCUCUGUCAGCAGGGAAGAAAGAUGACGGUACCUGACCAAGAAGCACCGGCUAAAUACGUGCCAGCAGCCGCGGUAAUACGUAUGGUGCAAGCGUUAUCCGGAUUUACUGGGUGUAAAGGGAGCGCAGGCGGCGCGGCAAGUCUGAUGUGAAAGCCCGGGGCCCAACCCCGGGACUGCACUGGAAACUGCCGUGCUGGAGUGUCGGAGGGGUAAGCGGAAUUCCUGGUGUAGCGGUGAAAUGCGUAGAUAUCAGGAGGAACACCGGUGGCGAAGGCGGCUUACUGGACGAUGACUGACGCUGAGGCUCGAAAGCGUGGGGAGCAAACAGGAUUAGAUACCCUGGUAGUCCACGCCGUAAAC